GAUGAAGAACGCAGCGAAAUGCGAUAAGUAGUGUGAAUUGCAGAAGUACCGUGAAUCAUCGAAUCUUUGAACGCAAAUUGCACUCUCUGGUAUUCCGGGGAGUAUGCCUGUUUGAGGGUCGCUUAACAAACCAUCGAUUUCGUUGCUUUUUUUUAAAAAGUGAUGUUUAUCGGAUUUGAGCCGUCUUUUUUUUUAUAUUUAAGUGGCUUAAAAUUGAUUUUUUUGGUACGAUCGAAGCGUAUUUUUAUGAUCAAUUUUUGGUUAAAGAAACGCACACGUACCGUUAUUUAUAUGAUGUAAUACGUUUGACUAUUGGAUUUAGUUCAUUCGUAUACGAUAUUUUUCAAUAUUUGACCUCAAAUCAGGUAAGAACACCCGCUGAACUUAAGCAUAUCAAUAAGCGGAGGA
rnacentral:misc_RNA from 1 species